UGUUGGAAAUUUGUCUGGCCGAAGAUACAAAUCCAGAAGAUCAGCCGAGUUGUCUUGCAUAGAGCUGCAAUACCAGUUCAAGUGGAGAUGUUGAAGUGGACUCUGAUGACACCAUAAUAUUACAACACAGUCCUACAACAAGACGAAGACUUGAAGACACCUCUCUUGCCAAAGUGGUUGCUGUCAUUGGUGAGGAUGCAUCAUCCGUUGAAGGUCAUGUGAAUGUCCUGCAUAUCCAGUACAGCAAAGUGCGAGAGGAUAUACUAAAGAAUUACCCUUUCUUGAAGACAGCCUCAGGGUUGUUUGAUGUUGACCGAAUGCAUCCAUCACCUGUCAGUU